rnacentral:rRNA from 1 species
ACGCUAGCUACAGGCUUAACACAUGCAAGUCGAGGGGAAACGACAUCGAAAGCUUGCUUUUGAUGGGCGUCGACCGGCGCACGGGUGAGUAACGCGUAUCCAACCUGCCCACCACUUGGGGAUAACCUUGCGAAAGUAAGACUAAUACCCAAUGAUAUCUCUAGAAGACAUCUGAAAGAGAUUAAAGAUUUAUCGGUGAUGGAUGGGGAUGCGUCUGAUUAGCUUGUUGGCGGGGUAACGGCCCACCAAGGCGACGAUCAGUAGGGGUUCUGAGAGGAAGGUCCCCCACAUUGGAACUGAGACACGGUCCAAACUCCUACGGGAGGCAGCAGUGAGGAAUAUUGGUCAAUGGACGAGAGUCUGAACCAGCCAAGUAGCGUGCAGGAUGACGGCCCUAUGGGUUGUAAACUGCUUUUAUAAGGGAAUAAAGUGAGUCUCGUGAGACUUUUUGCAUGUACCUUAUGAAUAAGGACCGGCUAAUUCCGUGCCAGCAGCCGCGGUAAUACGGAAGGUCCGGGCGUUAUCCGGAUUUAUUGGGUUUAAAGGGAGCGUAGGCCGGAGAUUAAGCGUGUUGUGAAAUGUAGACGCUCAACGUCUGCACUGCAGCGCGAACUGGUUUCCUUGAGUACGCACAAAGUGGGCGGAAUUCGUGGUGUAGCGGUGAAAUGCUUAGAUAUCACGAAGAACUCCGAUUGCGAAGGCAGCUCACUGGAGCGCAACUGACGCUGAAGCUCGAAAGUGCGGGUAUCGAACAGGAUUAGAUACCCUGGUAGUCCGCACGGUAAACGAUGGAUGCCCGCUGUUGGUCUGAAUAGGUCAGCGGCCAAGCGAAAGCAUUAAGCAUCCCACCUGGGGAGUACGCCGGCAACGGUGAAACU